rnacentral:rRNA from 1 species
CAGCCGCCACGGGAAUACGAAGGGGGCUAGCGUUGUUCGGAAUUACUGGGCGUAAAGCGCACGUAGGCGGACAUUUAAGUCAGGGGUGAAAUCCCGGGGCUCAACCCCGGAACUGCCUUUGAUACUGGGUGUCUAGAGUAUGGAAGAGGUGAGUGGAAUUCCGAGUGUAGAGGUGAAAUUCGUAGAUAUUCGGAGGAACACCAGUGGCGAAGGCGGCUCACUGGUCCAUUACUGACGCUGAGGUGCGAAAGCGUGGGGAGCAAACAGGAUUAGAUACCCGCGUAGUCCCUGUCUCUUAUAC